rnacentral:rRNA from 1 species
CAGCGCCGCGGUAAUACGGAGGGUGCAAGCGUUAAUCGGAAUUACUGGGCGUAAAGCGUGCGUAGGCGGUUCGUUAGGUCUGUUGUGAAAGCCCCGGGCUCAACCUGGGAAUUGCAGUGGAUACUGGGUCACUAGAGUGUGGUAGAGGAUAGUGGAAUUUCCGGUGUAGCAGUGAAAUGCGUAGAGAUCGGAAGGAACAUCUGUGGCGAAGGCGACUAUCUGGGCCAACACUGACACUGAGGCACGAAAGCGUGGGGAGCAAACAGGAUUAGAUACCCCUGUAGUCCCUGUCUCUUAUACA